rnacentral:tRNA from 1 species
GUGGAUGUAGCUCAGUGGUAGAGCACUUGCCUAGCAUGCAUGAGGCCCUGGGUUCCAUCCCUAGCACUACA